rnacentral:rRNA from 1 species
UUUUUACAAUGAAGAGUUUGAUCCUGGCUCAGGAUGAACGCUAGCGGCAGGCCUAACACAUGCAAGUCGAGGGGU